CAGGAAACUUCCCACCUGGCGCUGCCCCCAACCAAAGUCAUGAGGGCAAGGCUCCGGUUCCUGCCCUCACAGGGUCCCAGAAGCAAGGGCAGUGAGGACCUGUCCGUCUCUGGCACGGGGUGUCUGAUUCUCCUUCGCUGUGGCGGGAAGCUGGCCGGAUUUGAAGGCCUCCACUGCUCACUGCUGUGCCUUGAUCAGCCUGGACAAGCCCGCCUACACCUCCAUCAUGCCCAGUGUGAAGAGGGGCCAGGGACCCACCACUCCUGAGAACAGCAUCCUUGGGAAGACCCAGCUAGGCAGAAGAGGCCUGGACCUUGGUGCACACAGACCCAGGAACAGAUGAGCAGGGACGUUUGCAUCCACACCUGGCCGUGCACCUACUACCUGGAGCCCAAGAGGCGAUGGGUUACUGGACAACUGUCCUUAACGUCGCUGUCGCUCAGGUUCAUGACUGACAGCACUGGAGAGAUUCUGGUCAGCUUCCCCCUCUCCAGCAUAGUUGAGAUCAAGAAGGAGUCUUCACAUUUUAUCUUCAGCUCCAUCACUAUCCUGGAGAAGGGCCAUGCCAAGCACUGGUUCAGCUCCCUGCGGCCAAGUCGAAAUGUGGUCUUCAGCAUCAUCGAGCAUUUCUGGAGGGAGCUGCUGCUGUCUCAGCCUGGAGCCAUGGCAGACACGUCUGUCCCAAGGACCCGGGGCGAGGAGCUGACGGGACUCAUGGCUGGAUCCCAGAAACGCCUGGAGGACACAGCAAGGGUCCUGCACCACCAGGGCCAGCAGCUGGACAGCGUC
rnacentral:sRNA from 1 species